rnacentral:rRNA from 1 species
GAUGAACGCUGACAGAAUGCUUAACACAUGCAAGUCUUUGGCGAAGCUGUGCUUGCACAGCCUAGCCAAGGCGGACGGGUGAGUAACGCGUAAGGAACUUGCCCUGCAGUCAGGGAUAACAGACGGAAACGACUGAUAAGACCUGGUAAAGUCAGGCGGACUCAUGUCCAGCCUGAUGAAAAGAGAUGCUGCAGGAGAGCCUUGCGUCCUAUUAGCUUGUUGGUGGGGUAACGGCCCACCAAGGCGAUGAUAGGUAGCCGGCCUGAGAGGGUGGACGGCCACAAGGGGACUGAGAUACGGCCCUUACUCCUACGGGAGGCAGCAGUGGGGAAUAUUGGACAAUGGGGGCAGCCCUGAUCCAGCAAUUCUGUGUGCACGAUGAAGGUUUUCGGAUUGUAAAGUGCUUUCAGCAGGGAAGAAAAAAAUGACGGUACCUGCAGAAGAAGCGACGGCUAAAUACGUG